rnacentral:rRNA from 1 species
GACGAACCGUCCAAACGUUAUUCGGAAUCACUGGGCUUAAAGGGUGCGUAGGCGGAGAGGCAAGUCAGAGGUGAAAGCCCACGGCUCAACCGUGGAAGUGCCCCUGAAACGGCCUCUCUCGAGGGAGAUAGGGGCGUGCGGAACUCAGAGUGGAGCGGUGAAAUGCGUAGAGAUUCUGAGGAACACCGGUGGCGAAAGCGGCGCGCUGGGUCUUUGCUGACGUUGGGGCACGAAAGCUAUGGGAGCAUACGGG